rnacentral:pre_miRNA from 1 species
AUAACAUUCGGACCGUCGGUCUACCGAGAUAUAUCACCCGCUCGGUGGAAGAUCAUCCCUUUAUUGU